CUCUUACAGCAGCUUUAGAGAACUCACUUACAGGUGGACGCACCACAUAAGACCUCCUAAAUGCUGGGAAGACUCCAAAUCCUGGCUGCAACAGGAGCUCCCCAGCGACUGCGGAUCUGGAUGAUGCAAUGUAGAAUGUGCUCUGUGGACCACUGCUGGGAAUGUGCCUUCAGCACCCACAGCAAGUAGCUGGGUGAGCAGCAAAACCCACAGCGUCACUUCCAAACCUUCAGUAAGAACUGCUUCAUGGCCAUCUUACAAGCUCACUUGUUACCACCUGUCUCUCUAAUGAGGCUUCUUCUGCAUCGUUAUGUAUGAUAUAGAGGUUUGAAUCAACAUAAGGACUCAACUGCUGAGCUCCUUCCCAACAACAUUUUUUCCUGCUCAUGUCUCUUGACACAGCAGUGGUACACAGCAAUGAGAAGAGCACAAGAUCUAUCUUGUAUGACACAAGUUGCACCUUCACUGUCACAGUAGCUCCUACAUGGCAUACAUUAUGCCAGUACAUCCAUAGGCUCAACCUGAGCUUGCAUCCAGAUCUGGAGCCCCCGGUCACUCAUGUAGAUGCUGCACUGGCCUGUGUUUCACCCAGGGCCUACAGACACCCAAGGGACUCUCCUGUGACUAUACAGACCUGACCAGCUUGACACGACUCCUGGCUUUUGUUAUGGAUAAUAUCACAUGAAAUGAUUCAGUUGCAGCCAGAGGAAAAAUAAAAGCAGCCAGAAGAAAAUCAUAUUCUCAAAUGCCUGUUCGAAUUUCCAGGGAGGGACCUGAAUGAACAAGAGUUACUUGAUUCUCUUAUCACUCUGUUGAAACUGGAAACAGGCACAGCAGAGAUACACCAUUAGCAGGUUGUCUCAUGCAGCAGCAUCUGAUCAGCGCUUCUCCCUGUCUCCAUCCCUUGUUUGAUACUUCUGCUUCCCCCUCACUUCUACAAUGGCUUCACUAACAGGCAGAGCAUAUCCCAYGCAAUUCACCAGGACUGACCAGAGGGCCUCCUCCUCAGCCAUUUAUGUUUAACCAUAGUUGUCCUGCCAUCUAUCCUCUGGAAGAUCCUUCUAGGACAGAGAAUCCAAAGGGACAAGUUCUCCAGGUAUGAAUGUUUGCUGAGGUAUGUUUGCUGUGGCAAACAUGCCGCACCUGGAACAGGGAACUCAGAAGUUUUCCAUUAGUACUGGCAUAGCCUGAAGUGCUGAGCAGACAGGACUGCAGAAAUGCCGUGUGCCAGACGGCUCCAUAGUCAGCAAGAUGCCUGUGAGUCAGGUGAAGUGCACAAGCYGGCAAGUCCUGCUGUGCGAGGCUGUGGGCACACCUGGAAGGACCCACAGACCUGCAUGAGAGCUCAGCCCAUAGCAGCACGGACACACACUCCGCAUGCUGGUCAGGCAAUGUGGACACUACCUAAGAUCUCCUUCAAUAAAUCCUAUGUUCCUGUGUCACUGGCUUCAGCAGGUCCUAAAYACAAGGUAGUGCCACAUCUACAGGUUUGAGU